rnacentral:rRNA from 1 species
AGUGAACGCUGGCGGUAGGCCUAACACAUGCAAGUCGAACGGCAGCACAGUAAGAGCUUGCUCUUACGGGUGGCGAGUGGCGGACGGGUGAGGAAUACAUCGGAAUCUACUUUUUCGUGGGGGAUAACGUAGGGAAACUUACGCUAAUACCGCAUACGACCUACGGGUGAAAGCAGUGGAUCUUCGGACCUUGCGCGAUUGAAUGAGCCGAUGUCGGAUUAGCUAGUUGGCGGGGUAAAGGCCCACCAAGGCGAGGAUCCGUAGCUGGUCUGAGAGGAUGGUCGGCCACACUGGAACUGAGACACGGUCCAGACUCCUACGUGAGGCAGCAGUGGGGAAUAUUGGACAAAGGGCGCAAGCCUGAUCCAGCCAUCCCGCGUGGGCGAAGAAGGCCUUCGGGUUGUAAAGCCCUUUUGUUGGGAAAGAAAAGCGGCAGGUUAAUACCCCGCUGUUCUGACGGUACCCAAAGAAUAAGCACCGGCUAACUUCGUG